rnacentral:rRNA from 1 species
CUACCCGGGUUUCUAAUCCUGUUUGCUCCCCACGCUUUCGCGCCUCAGCGUCAAUGUCGGUCCAGAUAGCCGCCUUCGCCACCGGUGUUCUUCCCAAUAUCUACGAAUUUCACCUCUACACUGGGAAUUCCGCUAUCCUCUCCCGAAUUCAAGCAACCCAGUAUCAAAUGCAGUCCCCAGGUUAAGCCCAGGACUUUCACAUCUGACUUGGGUCGCCGCCUACGCGCCCUUUACGCCCAGUAAUUCCGAACAACGCUCGCCCCCUUCGUAUUACCGCGGCUGCUGGCAC